UACGUAGGGGGCUAGCGUUGUCCGGAAUCAUUGGGCGUAAAGCGCGUGUAGGCGGUCCGGUAAGUCCGCUGUGAAAGUCGGGGGCUCAACCCUCGGAUGCCGGUGGAUACUGUCGGGCUUGAGUACGGAAGAGGCGAGUGGAAUUCCAGGUGUAGCGGUGAAAUGCGUAGAUAUCUGGAAGAACACCGGUGGCGAAGGCGGUCAACUGGCCCUGAACUGACGCUCAGGCACGAAAGCGUGGGGAUCAAACAGG
rnacentral:rRNA from 1 species